rnacentral:rRNA from 1 species
AUGCAUCCAGGAAGGAGGUAUGAUUCUGGUGCUUCAAAGCGAAGGAAGAAACAAAAAGUAAAAGAAGAUACUCGAAAACAAAAGGGCGCUCUCGAUAAAUUUGUUGUGAAAGAACCUCAACCCAAUUCUGAAAACCAAACUGUAGAUGCUAAUAUUGAUGAUGCACCUAGUGGUGAUCCAGAAGAGGCUGAGGCUCACAUUGGUGAAACUGAUGAAGGUGAUGAUAUUAACAAUGUUGACGAAGGUGAUGAUUCUAAUCAUGUUGAUGAAGGUGCUAAUAUUGCUGCUGAAGGUGAUGAUUCUAAUCAUGUCGAUGAAGGUGCUAAUAUUGCUGCUGAAGGUGAUGAUGCUAAUGUUGCUGAUAACACAAAUAAUUCUGUUCAACCUGAUAUAUUUGAUCCAAGAACAUGGGAUGCACUUGAUCCUACAAUGAUUGAUAUUUUGGUGCAAAAAGGUCCUAAAAGAGACUUGUCUAUUGAGCAUGGUCCUACAGACAAAUUUGGUAGAAGGUUUUCUGCACUAGCGUACACUAGAGUUCUCUUGAAUGGAGAAAAGUGUGAUAGAGAGUGGCUUGUGUACAGCAAAGAGCUUGACAAAGUAUUUUGUUUUUGCUGCAAAUUAUUAAGGAAGGGACAUGUGAGAGGUCAGUUAGCAAAUGAUGGCUUCAGUGACUGGCAUCAUCUUAUCAGUAGACUCAAAGAGCAUGAAAAUGGUAGAGAACAUGUCACAAAUAUGAGUAGUUGGUAUGAUUUGCGCCUCAGGUUGGAGAAGAAUCAAACAAUUGAUAAAGUUGCUCAGCAAGAACUUGAAAAGGAAAGGGAGCAUUGGAGAAAAGUUUUGCUCAGGAUUCUUUUGAUUGUGAAAUUUCUUGCGGAACAUAAUAUAGCAUUUCGUGGCAGUAAUAGCAAGGUGUACCAAGAUAGUAAUGGAAAUUUCUUAGGAUUGGUUCAAAUGUUGGCAGAAUUUGACCCAGUUAUAAAAGAACAUGUCGACCGCAUCACAAGUGAUAAAAUCCGUGAUCAUUAUCUUGGUCCUUCCAUCCAGAAUGAACUAAUAAAUUUGCUCGCUGCUGCAAUCAGGUCUGAAAUCGUUAAGAAGGUAAAAGAAGCAAAGUAUUUCUCCGUUUUACUUGACUGUACUCCCGAUGCAAGCCACCAAGAGCAGAUGUCUUUGAUAAUUAGGUAUGUUGAUGCAUCUUCAGGUUCUUUUUGCAUUGAAGAAUCAUUCUUAGGUUUUUUGGAUGUGAAUGAUACCACUGGGCAAGGAUUGUUUGAUGCUCUAAAAAAUGAAUUGAAAACUCUUGACCUUGAUAUUGACAAUCUGAGAGGGCAAGGAUAUGAUAAUGGGUCAAAUAUGAAGGGAAUACAUAAAGGGGUACAAAGUAAAGUCUUGAAAAUAAAUCGGAGAGCUUUUUAUUCAGCUUGUGGUUGUCAUAGUCUGAAUUUGACAAUAUGUGACAUGGCAAAGUCUUGUCGUAAAGCAUCUGAUUUUUUUUGGAGUUAUCCAACGCAUCUACACAACAUUUGCUAA